UCAGUAACACGUAGUCAACAUGCCCAGGGACGUGGAUAACCUCGGGAAACUGAGGAUAAACCGCGAUAGGCCAUGAUUUCUGGAAUGGUUCAUGGCUGAAAUCUAUAUGGCCCCUGGAUUGGACUGCGGCCGAUCAGGCUGUUGGUGAGGUAAUGGCCCACCAAACCUGUAACCGGUACGGGCUCUGAGAGGAGGAGCCCGGAGAUGGGCACUGAGACAAGGGCCCAGGCCCUAUGGGGCGCAGCAGGCGCGAAAUCUCUGCAAUAGGCGAAAGCUUGACAGGGUUACUCUGAGUGAUUCCCGCUAAGGGGAUCUUUUGGCACCUUUAGCAAAUGGUGCAGAAUAAGGGGUGGGCAAGUCUGGUGCCAGC
rnacentral:rRNA from 1 species